rnacentral:rRNA from 1 species
CGUAGAAGUGUUUGGCGUAAGCCUGCAUGGAGCCAUUAUUGGUACAGAUCUUGGUGGUAGUAGCAAAUAAUCGAAUGAGAUCUUGGAGGACUGAAGUGGAGAAGGGUUUCGUGUGAACAGUGGUUGAUCACGAGUUAGUCGGUCCUAAGUUUAAGGCGAAAGCCGAACAUUAUCAAGUUGAACGAAAGGGAAUACGGUUCCAAUUCCGUAACCUGUUGAGUAUACGUUUGUUAUAAAUCUGGGCUUUUAGCUCAUCCUGGUAACAGGAACAACCAUAGAGAAGCCGUCGAGAGGUAUCGGAAGAGUUUUCUUUUCUGUUUUAUAGUCGUAUUACCAUGGAAGUCUUUCGAAGAGAGAUAUGGUAAAUGGGCUAGAAGAGCAUGGCAUUUACUGCUGUGUCGAUACUUUCUCCUCGGACCUUGAAAAUCUAUGGUGGGGUCACGCAAAUUUCUCAACAGGCCGUACCGAUAUCCGCAGCUGGUCUCCAAGGUGAAGAGUCUCUAGUCGAUAGAAUAAUGUAGGUAAGGGAAGUCGGCAAAUUAGAUCCGUAACUUCGG